rnacentral:rRNA from 1 species
AGGACGAACGCUGGCGGCGUGCCUAAUACAUGCAAGUCGAACGGUCUUUCUAUGGAAGCUUGCUUCCACUGGGAAGAUAGUGGCGAACGGGUGAGUAACACGUGGGUAACCUGCCCAUAAGAGGGGGAUAACAUCCGGAAACGGGUGCUAAUACCGCAUAGUUUUCUUGAUCGCAUGAUCGGGAAAGGAAAGACGGCCUUUGUGCUGUCGCUUAUGGAUGGACCCGCGGCGUAUUAGUUAGUUGGUGAGGUAACGGCUCACCAAGACGAUGAUACGUAGCCGACCUGAGAGGGUGAUCGGCCACAUUGGGACUGAGACACGGCCCAAACUCCUACGGGAGGCAGCAGUAGGGAAUCUUCCGCAAUGGACGAAAGUCUGACGGAGCAACGCCGCGUGAGUGAAGAAAAGGUUUUCGGAUCGUAAAACUCUGUUGUCAGAGAAGAACAAGUUGGAGAGUAACUGCUCCAGCCUUGACGGUAUCUGACCAGAAAGCCACGGCUAACUACGUGCCAGCCGCAGC